CAGCAUAUUCUCAGCACUCUCUCUUUCUAUGUCCGGCCACUCGCUACCGUGAACUUUCACGAUCUCGAUGGAAAACGAAGCGCACGCCCUCCGCACCGGGGCUCACCCCACUCUGCACGGCCGAACGUGUGUAUGUGCGUUAGGACUCUGCUUGCAACUCAACUCCUAUUCUGUUCUCUCGCGUAGUUCUGGUGAAUUGAUUACGUACAAGGAUAAUCAGAGUGACCAGCUAUCAGGUGACAAUACCGCUAUGGUUUCCUAAAAUGCUGAUGUAGACAUGAUUGUGAAAGGAUUCGACAGGAAGUGUUCAGUCUGAAAGCAAGGAUAUUGUAAAGAGACCAAAGACACGAAUACACUUGUAUAUCAGUUUUUAUGUUAUGAUUAUUCUAAUUCUAAUACAUAUAACUUAUAUAAUAUUAGUAAAAGAAAGUAAUACACAGUUUAAAACUCGAUGAAAAACUCGGUGAAGUUCCUCUCUUUCCCUGUGUAGCACAGCCAUAGAGUUUUUAUAAAUACAGUACAAUCAUAUCGUAGAUUAAAAGACUUGAAAUUUCAAGAUUCUUUUAAUAAAGGAUUUUUUAUGAUGA